AAUAGAGUGACGUACUUUCAAAGUUCUCGGAAGAAUGGAAAUAAACUCGUGCAAGGGAUAUAAUUCUUCAGUCGAUAACUGCCGCUAUACAGAGCAACGUCUUCUACAUUUAUUAUCCGCUGUUAUCGGAAUUAUUUUUUUACUUCAUUUCGAGAGUAAACAGACGUUUAUUCGCCUUCUCUUUAAUUUAACAAAUUUCGCAUACAAAAUUCAUCAUACCUGACCCAGACACACGGACCAACAGAAAAGUAAGGUUUGAAAUUAAUCAGUGGAUUACGGUAUCGCGUCGUUUCCGUGCACACUGGCAGGAGAAAGCUGGAAGCUGGCGGAAAGGAAACGACAAUCAACCGAGUAACAAGAGACCGAGCCGUGGGAGAUGGAUUAUUGUUGGCGGCGGACGAAAGGAGAGAUGAAUCGAGGUGAACGCGAUGGAGAUACCGUUGACGCGGCGCUCCGAUUAGAAUAUUUACCGGUGUCAUCCGUUACAAGCUGCGGAGCGUAAUAUACAGGAACGAACCACGGCCAGCUCGGAUGACGCAGUGUAGUGUCAAAGGAAGUCAAGGAGCCGAGAUCGUCCGCGAACGCUCACGCCCGUGGAAAUGGCCCGUGGGCGAGCCUGAUUUCUCCUGGGGUGCGCAGAGAAAGCUGAAGAUACGACAGGAAUAUACGGACCUGGCCCGAAGUGAAGCGAGACGCGAGAGGAAGCUGGAGACGCGGACGCGUGUAUGGGCACAUACAGUCAGUGAGAAAAGUCUUCGUGCACUUGGCGAAUCUUAUGUACCUGACUAACAGAGAAACUGAAAAUGAACUUUGUCACAUUAUUUAGACUUACGUGUUAGUACGAUUAGUAUUGUACAUGUACAGUCGGAGACAGAAAUAACUGGAGUGGAAGGUAGUGGAAGAAAGUAGGUACUUGGUACUUGGUGAGUUCUGUGUAUCUGAUUUAUCAAAGAAACUGAAAACAAGCUUUGUGGCGGAAUUAUUUAUAUUUCCAUAUCAAUAGAAUUAUCAUUCGUGUACAAUCGAGAUAGAAAUAAGUGAAAGGUAAUGCAAGUACGUAGGCACUGCUAGUAGUAGCGAACUUUGUGUACCUGACUUAUCAAAGGUACUAAAGUGAACUUUCUCAUGAAAUUACUUAUAUUUACAUAUUAGUGGAAUUAUUAUUCAUGCACAGUCGGGAAUAGAAAUAAGUGGAAGACAGUGUAAGUACAUGGGCACUUGGGGAAUUUUGUGUACCUGAUUUAUCAAAGGUACCAAAGUGAACUUUCUCAUGAAAUUACUUAUACUUACAUAUUAGAGCAAUUAUUAUUCAUGCGCAGUCGGGAACAGAAAUAAGUGGAAGGUAGUGGAUAUAGAUAGGCACUUAGCGAAUAUCGUGUACCUGAUUUACCGAAGAAAUCAAAAAUGAACUUUGUCAUGCAAUUAUUUAUGCUCGUAUAUCGAUACAAUUAUUAUUCAUGUACGGUCUAAACAGAAAUAAGUGGAAGGUAAUACAAGUACGUAGCCACUUGGGGAAUUUUGUGUACCUGAUUUAUCAAAGGUACUAAAGUGGACUUUCUCAUGAAAUUACUUAUACUUACAUAUUAGCGCAAUUAUUAAUCAUGCGCAGUCGGGGACAGAAAUAAGUGGAAGGUAGUGCAAGUACGUAGACACUUAGUGAACAUCGUGUACCUGAUUUACCGAAGAAAUCAAAAAUGAACUUUGUCAUGCAAUUAUUUAUGCUCGUUUAUCGAUACAAUUAUUAUUCAUGUACAGUCGAGACAGGAAUAAAUGGAAGGUAGUGUAAGUACUUGAGCACUUGGGGAAUUUUGUGUACCUGAUUUAUCAAAGGUACUAAAGUGAACUUUCUCAUGAAAUUACUUAUAUUUACAUAUUAGUAGAAUUAUUAUUCAUACACAGUCGGGAACAGAAAUAAGUGGAAGGUAGUAGAUAUAGAUAGGUACUUAGUGAAUAUCGUGUACCUGAUUUACCGAAGAAAUAGAAAAUGAACUUUGUCACGCAAUCAUUUAUGCUCGUAUAUCGAUACAAUUAUUAUUCAUGUACAGUCUUAGCAGAAAUAAAUGGAAGGCAGUAGAAGUGCCUAGGUACCUGGUGAAUUUUGUUUGCAAAGAUACUAAAAAAUGAACAUUGUCCCGAAUUUACUUAUACUUACAUACACCUGCAAGAUAUUAACGCAAUAUUAAACCUACUGUUCUUAUGAUUUCAUGAAAUUAUAAUAGGUGUGUUCUAUUUUUGUAACAUUAUAUUUUAUAUCCUUUUGCUUCUCAUUUUCCUCAGUGAGGAUCAAAAUGAAUGAAUUGUGUUACAUUUUAACAAUGUCUGCCUUAAUGUAUGAAAAAAAUUCGUAGAGCUAACGUCUUUACUAUAAAAUUUCGUAUGUAAGGGGUGUGUAUAAACUUUUCUGAGUGACUGUAGAAGAGUAACGAUUCGAAGAAGAUGAAAAAGCGAGGGAAGAAAGCGCGUUUGAAUGAAGAAAAAAUGAAGAUUGAAAUGGGGGAAAGGAAGAAGUGUGUCGUAAGUGUGACGAGGAUGAAUGACUAGUUUCGUAUUGAAAUAAAGCAACUCUAAAAUUUAUUUCGUUCUUCCUCGUGCCAUUAUUAACUUCUCAAUCCAGAUGGCAGAAGAGUCUUAGAAAUGAACAUUUUAGAGUUCGACAAAUCAAUCGAGAUCAACAAAUGAUCUUUAUUCAUUUUUCUUACUUUUUAAGAGAGCAAACGCUUUUUAAUUUUUGCUUCAAUAUCAACUUCAACUUGUUUAAACGAAACAUUCAUCGUAUCAUACAAUUGUCCUAGGUUUUAUUUUUGAUUA